rnacentral:lncRNA from 1 species
UGUUCCCCCUCCCCACCCCCCCCGCCUUUUUAUGCCAAAUUUUUUAGGGCAGGGUUGAGGUUUCCCAUCCCAAAAAAACUAAAAAAUCCCCAAAAAUGACUAAACCCCCCCCAAAAAUCUAAAAAAAAAAUCACAAAAAAAAUCUAAAUCCCUCCCCCCAAUAAAUCUCAAAAAUAUCCCCAAAAUUUCUAAAAACAACCCUAAAAAAUCCCCAGAAAAUCCCCAAAAAAUCCCUCCAAAUCCCCCCAAAAUCCCAAAAAUUUCUCAAAAAAAUCCCCCCAAAAUCCCCAAAAAUCCUAAAAAUAAUCCCCAAAAAUUCCUUUAAAAAUAAAAAAAAAAAUUCCUCCAAAAAAUUCCUAAAAAAUACCUAAAAGAUCCCAAAACUGCAAAAAAAUCAUUAAAGAUUUCCAAAAAAUCCCCAAAAAAUCCCCAAAAAUGAAAAAAAUUCCUUUAAAAAUAAAAUAUAAAAAUUACCAAAAAUUCCCCCCCAAAAAAAUCCCCAAAAUGCUGAAUUUUUUUUUAAUUCAAUAAAAUUCAAAAAAAAUAAAAAAAUUUCUAACCUCCCCCAAAAAAUCCCCCCAAAAAUUCCCCAAAAAAUCGCAAAAAAAGUCUAAAAAAAUCCAAAAAAACCCUCAAAAAAUACCCCAAAAAUCCCCAAAAAAUCCCCAAAAAAUCCCCCCAAAAAUCCCAAAAUAUCCCCCCAAAAAUUCCAAAAAAUCCCUCCAAAAUUCCAAAAAUAUUCGAAAUAAUUUCAAAAUAAUUUCCAACAAAUCCCCCCAAAAAUCUAAAAAACCCUCCCCCAAAAUCCCUCAAAAAUCCCUCAAAAAUUAAAAAAAAUCCCCAAAAAAUCUACAAAAAACCAAAAAAAUCCCCAAAAAAUCCCCCCAAAAAUCCCCAAAAUCCCCAAAAAAUCCCCCAAAAAUCCCCCAAAAUAAAAUCCCCAAAAAUUCUAAAGCCAGCCCCCAAGCUCCCCGUGUGCCGUGUCCCCCAGGGCAGCUGUGCCGGCUCUGUUGGCGCUGGCGCUGCGGGGCCCGCUCUGGUUGCCCGCGCUCCUUUACGGGCUCUGGCUGCUGGCGGACCGGGACACUCCCCGCCGCGGGGGGCGCCCUUGCGCCUGGGUGCGGGCCUGGCCCGUCUGGCGUCACUUCCGGGAUUAUUUCCCCGUCUCGCUGAUCCGCACGACGCCGCUGGACCCCCGCAGAAAUUCCAUUUUCGGCUUCCACCCGCACGGGGUCCUGGCCGCGGGGGCGUUCGGGAAUUUCUGCACCGAGGCCACCGGGUUCGGGGCUCUGUUCCCGGGGCUGCAGCCGCAGCUGCUCACCCUGCCCUGCUGGUUCCGAUUUAUUAAAAAAAUAAAUCCCAAAAAAAAUCUCCCAAAAAAAGUCCCUGAAAAUUCCUUUAAAAAUUAAAAAAAAAAUCCCCCCGAAAAUCCCCCCCAAAAAAUCCCCAAAAAUUCCUUUAAAAAUACCAAACAAUCCCCCCAAAAAUAAAAAAAAAAUCUCCAAAAAUCGCAGGAAAAUCCCUAAAAAUCCCUUUUAAAUUCCCCCCCAAAAUCCUUAAAAAAUCUCCCCCAAAAUUCAAAAAAAUCCCCCAAAAAUCCCCAAAAAACCCCAAAAUUCCCCUCCUACCCCUGCCCUGCUGGCUCCGCCUCCCGCUCUGCCGGGAGUGAGCCAUGGCAGGAGGUGAGAGGGGAAAAAUAAAUAAAAGUACAUUAGGGGGAGAGAAAGAAUAAAAGAAAAAAAAAAAAGGGAAAAAAAAAAAAAGAGGAAAAAAGAAGAUAAAAAAGAAAAGAAAGGAAAGAGAAAAGGAAAGAAAAGGGAAAAAAUGAAAAAGGAAAAGAAAAAGAAAAAAAAAAGAAAAAGAAAAAAAAAUUUAAAAAAGAAAAAAGGGGAAAGAAAACAAAACCUCCCCAAAAAAUCCCCCAAAAUGUGCGAAAAAAUUAAGAACAUAAAUCCCCCCAAAAAAUUCCCCGGAAAAAAAAAAAAAAACUUUAAAAAUCCCCAAAAAAAUCCAAAAAAAUUCCUUUUAAAAUCCCCCAAAAAUCUCACAAAGUUCCCAAAAAUUCCUUUAAAAAUCCCUAAAAAUAAAAAAAUCCAAAAAAAUCCCUCAUAAUUCCCCCAAAAAUCGCAAAAAAAUCCCCCCAAAAUUCUGAUUUUUUCCCCAUAAAUUUUGAUUUUUUCCCCCUUAAAUUCCAAAUUUUCCCCUAUAAAUUCUAAUUUUUUUCUUUUUUCCCCCAUUAAAUUCCCUUUAUUUCCCCCAUAAAUUCCCCUUUUAUUUCUCAAUAAAUCAGAUUUUUUCCCCCAUAAAUUCUAUUUUUUAUUUGAUUUUUCCCCCAUAAAUCCUGAUAUUUUCCCCAUAAAUUCCCUUUAUUUCCCCCCAUAAUUUCAGAUAUUUUCCCCCCAUAAUUUCAUUCUAUUCCCCCAUAAAUUCUGGAUUUUUCCUCAUAAAUUCCCUUUCAUUUCCCCCAUAAAUUCCCCUUUUAUUUCCCAAUAAUUCUGAUUUUCCCCCCAUAAAUUUCCUUUUUAAAUUAUUUUUCCCCGAUAAAUUCUGAUUUUUUCCCCCAUAAAUUCUGAAUUUGUCCCCCAUAAAUUCUGAAUUUGUCCCCCAUAAAUUCCCACUUGUUCCCCAUAAAUUCUGAUAUUUUUCCCCAUAAAUUCUGAAUUUUCCCUCAUAAAUUCCCUUUUUUAAAAAAUAUUUUUCCCCGAAAAAUUCAGAUGUUUUUCCCUCAUAAAUACUGUUUUUUUCCCUAUAAAUCCUGAAUUUUUUUCCCAUUAAGUCUGAUUUUUCCCCAUAAUCCCAGCAAUUUUUAACUCUUUCAAUUCCGUUUUCUGCCCAGUUUUACUGUCCUCAGAACCCUCCAGCCUCAAACAUAAUUCUGAAUUUUUCCCCCAUAAAUUCGCUUUUUUAAAAUUUUUUCCCCAUAAUUCCAGAUAUUUUCCCCCAGAAUUCCACGUAUUUUUCCCCAUAAAUUCUAACUUUUUCCCCCAUAAAUUCAGAUUUUUUCCCCAUAAUUCCAGAUAUUUUUCCCCAUAAAUUCCCAUUUAUUUCCCUAUAAAUUCCCAUUUAUUUUCCAAAAAAAUCUGAUUUUUUUUCCCCAUAAAUUCUGAUUUUUUCCCCAUAAAUUCCCAUUUAUUUUCCUAUAAUUCCAGAUAUUUUUCCCCAUAAAUUCUGAGUUUUUUUCCCAUGAUCCCAGCUAUUUUUAACCCUUUCAGUUCCAUUUUUUGCGCAGGUUUGGUGUCCUCAGAACCCUCCAGCCUGGAGCAUUUGCUGUCCCAGCUCAGGGGGGGCGAGGUCACUGUGAUCACCCUGGGGGGACCCCCCGAGUCCCUGGAGGCGCAGCCGGGGGCGCUCAGGCUGCAACUGCUCAGCAGGACGGGAUUGGUCAGGAUUGGCCUUAAAUUUGGGUAAUUUGGGACAUUUUGGGGGGUUUGGGGUCAUUUUUGUGGUUUUGUAAAAAAUGGCAACAAAAAUCCCCCCAAAAAUCGCAAAAAAAUCACUGAAAUCCAAAAAAAGUGCCUAAAAGUUGCCCAAAACAUUUCUCCAGAAAUCACAAAAAUUGUAAAAUAUUUCUCUUAAAAGUUCUCUAAAAAAAUCCCCCAAAAUUUACAAAAAAAUUUAAAAAACAUUCCAAUAAAAUUCGCUGAAAAAAAUCCCCCCAAAAUCACAAAAAAUUCCGAAAACUCUUCACAAAAAGAAUCCCCCAAAAUAUCCCAAAAAUUUCCAAGAAAUCCUAAAAAAUUCUCAAAAAUAUACCAGAAAAAAACCCCAAAAAAUUCCUAAAAUAUGCCCCAAAAAUGCCAAAAAAAAUCCCAAAAUUUUCACCAAAAUUAAGAAAAAAUUCCCAAAAAUUCCCCAAAAAUCCCCAAAUCCUCCCAAGGAUUUCCCGCCAGUUUGGGCCAUUUGGGGUCAUUUUGGGGGAUUUGGGGACCCCUCGAGUCCCUGGAGGUGCAGCUGGGGGUGCUCAGGCUGCAGCUGCUCAGCAGGACAGGAUUCGUCAGGAUUGGGCUGAAAUUGGGUCAGUUUGAGAGGUUUUGGGGUCCCAAAAAUAUCCCAAUAUAGUCCCAAAAAAUUUUAAGAAUUACAAAAUAAAUUCCCCAAAAAUCACAAAAAAAAAUCGCAAAAAAAUGGCAAAAAAUCGCAAAAAAUUUCCCCCAAAUUGCACAAAUGUCCCAAAAAGUUCUCUAAAAAAAUCCCUCAAAAAUACAAAAAAUACCAAAAAAUUUUUGCUAAAAACUCCCACAAAAAUCCCCCCAAAAAAUUAAGAAAAUCCUCCCCAAAAAUUCCUCCCAAAAAUUCCUCCAAAAUUCCUAAAAAAUUCCAAAAAAUUCCUCCGAAAAUUAAAAAAAAUUGGCAAAACAAAUCCCAAAAAAAUCCUGCCAAGAAUUCCCAAAAUAUUCUAAAAAUAAAAAAAUUGUUAAAAAUUCCCCCCAAAUUAAAAAAAAAUUCCCAAAAUAUUCCAGAAAAUUAAAAAAAAAAA